rnacentral:lncRNA from 1 species
UGUUACCGUUAUGUAGAGGAAAACGCAAACAAAAAUGCAAACAAAAAAAGGAAUAAGAAUUGAAUGGAACAAAAACAUUUAUUAGAUUUCAAAUUUAUAUAUAAACAAUAGGCAGAUUAUUAAAUAUAUAAUAUAAACCUAAACUAGAAAACAUCCUUUGCGUUUAAACAAUUGAGAUAGUCAUACUUAUUCUAUAAGCUAAAUUACAUAUGUACCAAAAAAGAAAUUAAUGAAAUUCAAACUGCAUAAAUCCAAUCCAAAAUCAUAAAUAGAAGCAUCUCUAUUUCUCAAUCCCAUUAUUUUCCUACUAGUAGAUAAGCAAUUUUAGCUUACAGGAAAAUCUGCUAAUCUGCAAAAUGUUGUACAAAGUAAAAUAAAGGAAAAUCAAAUUAAAUUAAAUUGUAAAAAGAAAAUGUAAAUGAAAGCUUAUUGGAAAGGAAGCAAAGGUAAGCCAAAUCGAUUUCAAUGUCGAUUGUUUCUGCAAUAAAACAAAGCAAAAACAAAAAAGAUGAGAUUAAAUGAAGAAACUAAGUUUGUGAUCUCAGUAAACAUUAUAAUAAAUUCAUUAAACUCGAAUCCCAUGCAAUUUCAAAAUUCUAAUAACUUCAUUUCCAGAUAUAAACAUAUAAACAAACGUUUACCGCUUAAUUAUUUGAUUGAAUCAUAGAUUAACGGAAAGCUAAUUGACAAAUUUCAUUUCAUAAAAGAAGAAUAAGAAGAAGGAAAUGAAGUUACCCGGAUUAACCAGAAACAAACAGACAGAAAAUGGAAGGGGUCCAUUGUUAAUGAUUUCUUUAAAAAAUUCAAAAAAUUUAAUCACAAAAAAAUUAUCCCCCUCCCAAAAGCCUCUCU